AGACAUGGAGGCUUCCUGCUUACCCACACCCUGGCCGAUGCAGCAUAUUAUGAAACUCCUGAGGCUUUGCUGCUCUGGUGUGCGGAAAAACACGGCUUCUGCUGGAGAUGGAAAAAGGACUCUGGGGAGGACAAGAUGCCUCAUGUCAAAGCAACAAGGUUCCAGUGAAGAGCUGCAGGCCUCAGAGGCAGUUUAUUUCAUCAAAAAGAUCGGAAGCCUAAAAACAGCAUUGUUAGGGAACUGGCAGCUCAAGACAAAGAAGCCGAACCAGAAGAGGGCACUCUUACCACAGAGAUUUACAGCUAAUGGUUUUUUUUUUUUUUUUUUUUUAAUGUUUGCCCCUCAGCAGGGCCAACAGAGAAAGCAGGACAUUCUUUCCUAAGGAGCUCAUAACUCUCCCAGCCAAGCAAGAAGGAAAAGGCAAAACACCAAGGGUGAAAACUUAGCAGAGAAUGCCAAAGGCAAUGACCGUGCUCUCUGACCAUCACACGCUGGAGGCAGAGCUUUAUAUGGUUCUCAAAGGAUUGUUUACCUCCUCCUCACUAAACCUUAAAAAAAAAUGUAUUCCAAAAACGAAUUACACCAAGCCAACCCACAUUACUCAGUCUACGAAGCCAACCCACAUUCUGGCCUGUACUGCCUUUCAACUCUUCCUAUUUCCACUUGCUGGAAUAAAUCAUUUCACUCUAGGGCCAAAA